rnacentral:rRNA from 1 species
CGAAUGGGGAAACCCAGUGUGAUUCGUCACACUAUCAUUAACUGAAUCCAUAGGUUAAUGAGGCGAACCGGGGGAACUGAAACAUCUAAGUACCCCGAGGAAAAGAAAUCAACCGAGAUUCCCCCAGUAGCGGCGAGCGAACGGGGAGCAGCCCAGAGCCUGAAUCAGUGUGUGUGUUAGUGGAAGCGUCUGGAAAGGCGUGCGAUACAGGGUGACAGCCCCGUACACAAAAAUGCACAUAUUGUGAGCUCGAUGAGUAGGGCGGGACACGUGGUAUCCUGUCUGAAUAUGGGGGGACCAUCCUCCAAGGCUAAAUACUCCUGACUGACCGAUAGUGAACCAGUACCGUGAGGGAAAGGCGAAAAGAACCCCGGCGAGGGGAGUGAAAAAGAACCUGAAACCGUGUACGUACAAGCAGUGGGAGCACGCUUAGGCGUGUGACUGCGUACCUUUUGUAUAAUGGGUCAGCGACUUAUAUUCUGUAGCAAGGUUAACCGAAUAGGGGAGCCGAAGGGAAACCGAGUCUUAACUGGGCGUUAAGUUGCAGGGUAUAGACCCGAAACCCGGUGAUCUAGCCAUGGGCAGGUUGAAGGUUGGGUAACACUAACUGGAGGACCGAACCGACUAAUGUUGAAAAAUUAGCGGAUGACUUGUGGCUGGGGGUGAAAGGCCAAUCAAACCGGGAGAUAGCUGGUUCUCCCCGAAAGCUAUUUAGGUAGCGCCUCGUGAAUUCAUCUCCGGGGGUAGAGCACUGUUUCGGCAAGGGGGUCAUCCCGACUUACCAACCCGAUGCAAACUGCGAAUACCGGAGAAUGUUAUCACGGGAGACACACGGCGGGUGCUAACGUCCGUCGUGAAGAGGGAAACAACCCAGACCGCCAGCUAAGGUCCCAAAGUCAUGGUUAAGUGGGAAACGAUGUGGGAAGGCCCAGACAGCCAGGAUGUUGGCUUAGAAGCAGCCAUCAUUUAAAGAAAGCGUAAUAGCUCACUGGUCGAGUCGGCCUGCGCGGAAGAUGUAACGGGGCUAAACCAUGCACCGAAGCUGCGGCAGCGACACUAUGUGUUGUUGGGUAGGGGAGCGUUCUGUAAGCCUGUGAAGGUGUACUGUGAGGUAUGCUGGAGGUAUCAGAAGUGCGAAUGCUGACAUAAGUAACGAUAAAGCGGGUGAAAAGCCCGCUCGCCGGAAGACCAAGGGUUCCUGUCCAACGUUAAUCGGGGCAGGGUGAGUCGACUCCUAAGGCGAGGCCGAAAGGCGUAGUCGAUGGGAAACAGGUUAAUAUUCCUGUACUUGGUGUUACUGCGAAGGGGGGACGGAGAAGGCUAUGUUGGCCGGGCGACGGUUGUCCCGGUUUAAGCGUGUAGGCUGGUUUUCCAGGCAAAUCCGGAAAACUAAGGCUGAGGCGUGAUGACGAGGCACUACGGUGCUGAAGCAACAAAUGCCCUGCUUCCAGGAAAAGCCUCUAAGCAUCAGGUAACAUCAAAUCGUACCCCAAACCGACACAGGUGGUCAGGUAGAGAAUACCAAGGCGCUUGAGAGAACUCGGGUGAAGGAACUAGGCAAAAUGGUGCCGUAACUUCGGGAGAAGGCACGCUGAUAUGUAGGUGAAGUCCCUCGCGGAUGGAGCUGAAAUCAGUCGAAGAUACCAGCUGGCUGCAACUGUUUAUUAAAAACACAGCACUGUGCAAACACGAAAGUGGACGUAUACGGUGUGACGCCUGCCCGGUGCCGGAAGGUUAAUUGAUGGGGUCAGCGCAAGCGAAGCUCUUGAUCGAAGCCCCGGUAAACGGCGGCCGUAACUAUAACGGUCCUAAGGUAGCGAAAUUCCUUGUCGGGUAAGUUCCGACCUGCACGAAUGGCGUAAUGAUGGCCAGGCUGUCUCCACCCGAGACUCAGUGAAAUUGAACUCGCUGUGAAGAUGCAGUGUACCCGCGGCAAGACGGAAAGACCCCGUGAACCUUUACUAUAGCUUGACACUGAACAUUGAGCCUUGAUGUGUAGGAUAGGUGGGAGGCUUUGAAGUGUGGACGCCAGUCUGCAUGGAGCCGACCUUGAAAUACCACCCUUUAAUGUUUGAUGUUCUAACGUUGACCCGUAAUCCGGGUUGCGGACAGUGUCUGGUGGGUAGUUUGACUGGGGCGGUCUCCUCCUAAAGAGUAACGGAGGAGCACGAAGGUUGGCUAAUCCUGGUCGGACAUCAGGAGGUUAGUGCAAUGGCAUAAGCCAGCUUGACUGCGAGCGUGACGGCGCGAGCAGGUGCGAAAGCAGGUCAUAGUGAUCCGGUGGUUCUGAAUGGAAGGGCCAUCGCUCAACGGAUAAAAGGUACUCCGGGGAUAACAGGCUGAUACCGCCCAAGAGUUCAUAUCGACGGCGGUGUUUGGCACCUCGAUGUCGGCUCAUCACAUCCUGGGGCUGAAGUAGGUCCCAAGGGUAUGGCUGUUCGCCAUUUAAAGUGGUACGCGAGCUGGGUUUAGAACGUCGUGAGACAGUUCGGUCCCUAUCUGCCGUGGGCGCUGGAGAACUGAGGGGGGCUGCUCCUAGUACGAGAGGACCGGAGUGGACGCAUCACUGGUGUUCGGGUUGUCAUGCCAAUGGCACUGCCCGGUAGCUAAAUGCGGAAGAGAUAAGUGCUGAAAGCAUCUAAGCACGAAACUUGCCCCGAGAUGAGUUCUCCCUGACUCCUUGAGAGUCCUGAAGGAACGUU